GUUUUGCCACCCGACCCAAUGCCAAGUCAUGAGGUGAGAGUAGCUAAAAGAUGAAACAAGCUUUGGAGAAGCAAGGCAUAUUUUCUUUGGUUUGUGGGACAACCCGUGGCUAACUGCAAUGGCUCGUUGAGCAAACCAUGAUUUAAACAAGGGUUUCCCUCCCUUUUGGGGUCCAGGGACACAUUUGGAAAAAUAAUAAAUUGUCAAUGUCGCCACAAAAUAUCUGUGACAUCACAGACACAAGCAAAACAAACAAGCAACACCCCCCUCAAAACACGGGCAAUUAAAAAAACAAAACAAAACAGGCACUGCACACACGGCAUAAAACAUGCCCCCACAAAAUAGCAGGCACUGUUCCCCACCGAACAGAAAACACAUACAACCAAAAGCACUCCAUACCCAAGCAGCCAACAACAAAAAAGCACCCAACAAUUUCAAGUCAGGUAACACUUAUACACUUCCUCAAAACAAAAUUUCCAGGAAAAUGUGCACCCUGGCUCUCUCUUGCUUCCCCCAAAUGAACGGUUCAUCAACAGCGUUUGUAUUUUUCUUCUCCAAAGAGUUUUCUAGCAGGUAGCUGGAAGGCCAGAUACUGGCCUCUUUCCUUUCCUUGGAAGAAUGCUUCUGACUCCAUAUUGGGGACCCUCAACUGUGGCUUAGCAUUUUUCGUGAACCAGACACCUAACCAGGCUGUCUCUUUUGCUGCGGACCUGCACUAGUAGAACCAUAUCAAAAAGAAGAAGAUACACUUUUGUCACUAUUUUGAUUUCAAUAAUAAUGUGAAUCGACCAGGGCACCACUGUACAACACUUCCUUUAGAAUUGUGAGAUAAAGAGAAACUUACAUUAG